GCAGACCAGCGCUCAAUGAAUAAUACCAACUGGCCCAGCAGCACCAGUGAGAUCCGGCAUCAAACACAGCUUCACUCUGCUCCCAGGGAAGGAGACACUGGACUGCAUAGCUUUCUCUUUUCAAUAUGUAAAUCCCGGCUUAGUACCUAUGCCCACCGAGUCAUCAGGUCUGCCUCUUGAGAAUUGUAGAAGUAUAAAUGCAUUGUCAAAUGAGAAAAUGUUGUCAACAAGUGGCUAGGUGACUCACUCAAGGUCACAAGGCUGGCGUACAGUUCUGGACCAUCUGGGCACUGAGCUUGAGCACACUUUCACUUGUACGGCCUCUCAAGACAUCUGCAAGUGACACACCGGUCACUUAGCCGACAGUGACUCCAUCAAGGCUCCUACGGAAUGAUACCUCGAUAGUGUGAAAGGCAUACCACGAGGUACGUAGGUGACUCCAGAUGGCACAGAAGACAGCAACUCGAAUGUAUUGAUGUAUUCAGGACACCUGGAAAUUCAUUUUUCCAGCCCCGUUUCCUCAACCUGAGCCUGGAAAGCCAAAUCCAGCUGGCACCAGUCUUCUGAGAUCAUCCUCACUAUACCAAUGGAAACUCUGAGCCUCAGAGAAGUGAGGGCCGAAAGGCCACACAGCUCGAAAACAGAAAGGAAGAUUUCUACAUGACUGAUUCUCUGUCACUUCGAUCAAGAGGCAAAUACGGUCUCCAGAGAAGCUUACAAAACAGCCCUCGGCUGUCUCUAUAAAGAGUUCCAGAAGGGAAGUGAAUAGAUAUUAGAACGUGGUAAAACAUGAGGCCUGCCUGUCUGGCAAAUUUGGCCUAGAGCUUACUCUGCCCUGAUCGUCGAACACAGAGCUCAGACGUUCGGUGCCCCUUCCACACACCAACCUAUAGCCGUCCGGGCAAGGGUGCAGACUGCCCAUUGCACAAAGCUGAGGCAGGUGCCAGAGAAACCUUCACAGCUGCAGGUCAUGGGAAGUCUCACGGGACAUCUCUGGGAAGCUGAGCCAGGUGCAGCUCAGUCACUCCGGUGUCUUAGCUAUUCUAGAGACAGAGGCACAGGAUCACGAGUUCAAAGAUCCUGUGAGCUGCACGUGAGUUCAAAGCUGGCCUGAGCAAGGACCUUGCCUCAACAAAGGAACCAAGAAGAGAAUAGGAGGGGCCUGGGUCCACCGCUCAUGGUGACUGCUUGCCUACCGUGAGCCAGGCCUGGGCGUGAUACCCAACACCACUGAAGGGAAAAAAUAUGUUAAAUGAAAGUGGAAAGGGUUAGCACCACCUCAAAAAUCAGGAAAGUGAGUUUGCACGGGGACUGCACUCUGUAUUGGGCAUAUGUGCCAGAGUUCAAAUCCUACCCAAGUAUUAUAGCUGUGCCUGAAUUCUACAUUCUGUGGCCGGUGAGCCAUCUGUGGUUAUCCCUUGCAUUUUUCUAUAUAAUUUUGUAUUAAUUUAAGAGUUCCUUUUAGCUUGACCAAUGGCAGUAUUGAUAUGUGUCAUGUGCACUGUGAUCACAUAGGAACCAUGACAACAUAACAUUGCUCUAUCUGUAUAAUAUGUUUAUACACAUAACACAUGCAUAUGACAUAUGUAUAUAUGCGAUUAUAGGUUGGCCCGAGAGGCUAAACUAGACAAUCAUUUCUCUAAUAUCUGGCUGAGUGAGAAUGUUGCUGAGGUGAGAAGAGAACUUAAAGUUAGAAGGGAACUGAGGCUUGAGUGGAGCCCUGGGGAGUAGGCAGGCUCACAAAGAUAAAGGGAAGGGGGAGGUACCCAAAGGAGCUGCUGUCAUGCAAAAGAAAGGCAGGAAAACUGGUCUUGAACCUGGGCCCUGCAUUCACAGUUGGAAUGAAACUGAGGCUGCAUACAAGAAUGUGCAUUAAUACAAAAAAAUAAACUCUAAUGCAGGAAAUAAA
rnacentral:sRNA from 1 species